rnacentral:rRNA from 1 species
GCAGCCACCUUUUAAAACGCGUCAAAGCGUAACCUUAACCCCCAAAAUACCACUAAUUUUCAUGAACCCCUAAUUUAUAAUGAAUGACUCCAUAUUUAUAUGGAAGACACCAUGCUAGGAUUAGUAACAAGAAUUUAUAAUUCUCCAAAAUGCAAAUAUAAACCAACAUGGAUGGACCAUUGGUAGUUACCGAACCUAAAUUCAAUGCAAUAACACCCACAAGAAAACUCUGCAGUACUCACUCGUUAACCUAACACCAGCGCAUUACAGGAAAGAUUAAAAAAAAGAGAAGGAAUUCGGCAAAUGACGGCCCCGCCUGUUUACCAAAAACAUCGCCUCUUGACUUAUAAUGAGAGGUCUAGCCUGCCCAGUGAAUUUUAAACGGCCGCGGUAUCCUAACCGCGCGAAGGUAGCAUAAUCACUUGUUCUUUAAAUGGGGACUCGUAUCAACGGCAUCACGAGGGUUUUACUGUCUCCUCUUUUUGAUCAGUGAAAUUGAUCUUCCCGUGAAGAAGCGGGAAUAAAUUUAUAAGACGAGAAGACCCCAUGGAGCUUUAAACCAAAUAACAACUUAACCACUCACCCCAUAAUAAAUUUAAGCCCUGUUAUAAGGUUUUUGGUUGGGGUGACCGCGGAGUAAAGCAUAUCCUCCACGACGAAAAGAACAGAAUCUUUAUUUAAGAACCACACUUCUAGAAAUUAGUAUACUAACGUUUACUGACCCGACAAUCGAUCAACGGACCAAGUUACCCUGGGGAUAACAGCGCAAUCUACUUCAAGAGCUCAUAUCGACAAGUAGGCUUACGACCUCGAUGUUGGAUCAGGGUAUCCCGGUGGUGCAGCCGCUACCGAAGGUUCGUUUGUUCAACGAUUAAAACCCUACGUGAUCU